rnacentral:rRNA from 1 species
CGUUGGGCGGGCGUGCUAUACAUGCAAGUAGAACGCUGAAGAGAGGAGCUUGCUCUUCUUGGAUGAGUUGCGAACGGGUGAGUAACGCGUAGGUAACCUGCCUUGUAGCGGGGGAUAACUAUUGGAAACGAUAGCUAAUACCGCAUAACAAUGGAUGACACAUGUCAUUUAUUUGAAAGGGGCAAUUGCUCCACUACAAGAUGGACCUGCGUUGUAUUAGCUAGUAGGUGAGGUAAUGGCUCACCUAGGCGACGAUACAUAGCCGACCUGAGAGGGUGAUCGGCCACACUGGGACUGAGACACGGCCCAGACUCCUACGGGAGGCAGCAGUAGGGAAUCUUCGGCAAUGGGGGCAACCCUGACCGAGCAACGCCGCGUGAGUGAAGAAGGUUUUCGGAUCGUAAAGCUCUGUUGUAAGUCAAGAACGGGUGUGAGAGUGGAAAGUUCACACUGUGACGGUAGCUUACCAGAAAGGGACGGCUAACUACGUGCCAGCAGCCGCGGUAAUACGUAGGUCCCGAGCGUUGUCCGGAUUUAUUGGGCGUAAAGCGAGCGCAGGCGGUUUGAUAAGUCUGAAGUUAAAGGCUGUGGCUCAACCAUAGUUCGCUUUGGAAACUGUCAAACUUGAGUGCAGAAGGGGAGAGUGGAAUUCCAUGUGUAGCGGUGAAAUGCGUAGAUAUAUGGAGGAACACCGGUGGCGAAAGCGGCUCUCUGGUCUGUAACUGACGCUGAGGCUCGAAAGCGUGGGGAGCGAACAGGAUUAGAUACCCUGGUAGUCCACGCCGUAAACGAUGAGUGCUAGGUGUUGGAUCCUUUCCGGGAUUCAGUGCCGCAGCUAACGCAUUAAGCACUCCGCCUGGGGAGUACGACCGCAAGGUUGAAACUCAAAGGAAUUGACGGGGGCCCGCACAAGCGGUGGAGCAUGUGGUUUAAUUCGAAGCAACGCGAAGAACCUUACCAGGUCUUGACAUCCCGAUGCUAUUUCUAGAGAUAGAAAGUUACUUCGGUACAUCGGUGACAGGUGGUGCAUGGUUGUCGUCAGCUCGUGUCGUGAGAUGUUGGGUUAAGUCCCGCAACGAGCGCAACCCCUAUUGUUAGUUGCCAUCAUUCAGUUGGGCACUCUAGCGAGACUGCCGGUAAUAAACCGGAGGAAGGUGGGGAUGACGUCAAAUCAUCAUGCCCCUUAUGACCUGGGCUACACACGUGCUACAAUGGUUGGUACAACGAGUUGCGAGUCGGUGACGGCGAGCUAAUCUCUUAAAGCCAAUCUCAGUUCGGAUUGUAGGCUGCAACUCGCCUACAUGAAGUCGGAAUCGCUAGUAAUCGCGGAUCAGCACGCCGCGGUGAAUACGUUCCCGGGCCUUGUACACACCGCCCGUCACACCACGAGAGUUUGUAACACCCGAAGUCGGUGAGGUAACCUUUUGGAGCCAGCCGCCUAAGGUGACCAGAGUGC